ACUUGGGAAAUCCCACCGCUGCCACCAAAUAAAGUGAAACACAGUAAAUGGGGAUCGCUAUGGAGUCAAAGCAAGUUUGA